UAUGUCACAAUGGUGACAGAAUCUCAACACUCAACCCAUAUAUAUAUAUAUAUAUAUAUAUAUAUAUAUAUAUAUAUAUGUAGCACCCGUACAACCACUCUGUGAGUUACUUACGUGAGAAUGGGGGUGCUUGGGUUCGGUGUAGUUCAGGUGGAUACCACUAAGGUGCACCUAAUGAGUUAUAAAACCUUUUGACAAUAAAAUAUUUAGAAAUAAUGAGACCCAGAGAUGUUUUUUAGUCUAGCAAAAAUAGGGUAACGCCCUUGUUUAAUUGAAUAAAAGAAUUUGGCAAAUAGAAUAUAAAAGCUUUCCCCAAAAUUCAAUAUUUACGAAUAUACUAAAAUAAAUAACCAAAAGAUUCCCCAAACACUUAAAUAAUAACCACUUUAAAAUUUAGCUUGAAACCCCAAUAGUUUCAAUCACACUUGUUACACCAGAAUAAGUGGUUCAAAAGUCCCCCUCCCUUAGCUCUUUCUUAACAAUCGAGAAUACACAGAGAACUUUACAAUAAACAAAAUGCGCCAAGUGUCCUGAAACAAGUCUUAGCAAAUGCAGUGGUGGGCCCAUUCACACACACAUUCACACAUGUUCCAGUUUACUCACGGUAACAUUUUGAACGAAGAAAAAAACGUUGCAGGCCUGUUUUGGUCUUGCAAAACAUUGAGUGCGCUGAACGGACAUUGAGUGCGCUGAACGGACACUUGCAAAAAAUUGAGAGCGCGGAAAGACUUUGGUCCGGAUGAUCAGGUGCGGUGCGAUUAAACGACAGUUCCGCCCAGCAUACGCCCACCGUGGCUAACUAUCUCGGCUACCUCCGUUCACGGCUUCCGCUCCUUCUCUCCCGCUCCGUCAGACGGGUCUCCGGCUUCGUUUCUCACUCAGUCUCGCGGCUCACAAACAUCCCGAGUCCGUGGUCCUCUUCUCUGAGCUUUCCGCUCCGUUUAAUCGGCUUUGCUCGCACUUUCUAGCGUUCUUUUUUCUUCUCAACGUGCCAGCGUUCCGCGCUCCACCCCAGUCCAGCACGAAGAGAAAAAAACUUCCAGCACUUUCUCACGUCUCUCACCAGUCCAGCACGAAGAGAAAAAAACUUCCAGCACUUUCUCACGUCUCUCACCAGGUCACGUGUAUCUACGUCUUUUUCAUACCUGCAGCCAAACACUAUUGACUAUACAGCAUGAAUACCCAAAUGACCAAUAAAAAUAGUAACAUAAAAACAGUAAAAAUAAAAUAAUAAAAGGCUAACUGCAUAAAACCUUUGGAAAUAUUAUUCAGCUGAAUAAUAUAAACUUUAAACUUCAGUUUUAAUUACUGUCAUGAAAUAAAAAUUACCAAAUAUUUAUUUCCUUUUUAAUUAUGUAAAAAUGAACUGAUAUUUCCUUAUUUAGAAGUCAGAUGUCCCCUAUUAUUUAUUUAAAGUAAAUAAACGUUUACUUUUUUAAUAGUCAUAUGACUCGUUUUUGAGAGUAAGAGAGAUUAAUCAUAACCCACCCUGUUCCAAUUACACUAUAUACCCAAGUUUACCACUGGGCUACAUAUAUAUAUAUAUAUAUAUAUAUAAUUAUUUAAUAUUAAUCACUUUUGCUCAUAUCACUCAUGAGCUGAUUACUCCUUUGCCUGACCAGUAAUGACAUGCUUGACAAUGGCAUGCUAACCCUUGAUGUAAGUCUUUUGGAUUGUUUUUGUUUUGUUCUCUUGUCCACCAGGGGCACACACCUCUCCCUAGAGAUUACACUCAUUAUGGGCAUGUCAGCAACUCCUGGUAUGCAAACUACAUUUCAGAAUCAAACAUUUGAGAAGUGAUGCAGAGAAAUUAUGAAUUUAUUUAAUGUAGAAAUUGUAGCUCGCAAGCUUGCCAUACAAGGUGCCUAUGCUGGUUUGCAGCAAGAAGAGUGGGGGGGGGGGGGUAAGGAGAAUUUGAAGGAGAGAUGGUUGCUUGCAGAUGCCAUGUAUGUUGGUGUUUUGUUGCAGAUCUAUGACUCCGCCACCUGAACUUUCCCUUGCCCUCUAUUUUACUCUC
ensembl:lncRNA